ensembl:snRNA U6 U6 spliceosomal RNA
GUGCUUGCUUCGGCAGCACAUAUACUAAAAUUGGAAGGAUACAGAGAUUAGCAUGGCCCCUACGCAGGGAUGACACGCAAAUUGGUGAAGCUUUACAUAUUUAA